rnacentral:misc_RNA from 1 species
GGAAGGAUCAUUAACAAAUCACGGCCCUCGGGCCAUUGACGCCUGGCCUCGGCCAGGACAUUUCUGCUUGCAUGUUUGACUGAACGAAAUCAUCCAAUAAUACAACUUUUAACAAUGGAUCUCUUGGCUCUUGCAACGAUGAAGAACGCAGUGAAAUGCGAAACUUAAUGCGAUUUGGCAUGAAUCUGUGAGUCAUCAAGUAUUUGAACGCACCUUGCACUCUGUUCUGCAGAGUAUGCCUGUUUGAGAAUCAGUUCUUUCUCAACCUCGGUCGAGGUUGGAUUUGCGGGCCCCCUCGCGGCGGCCCGUAGAAUGCAGUAGGUCCGGCCAAAGGACAUUGUGUGCCAGAGCGUCACAAUCGAGCCUGCGGCCAGCCUCCACAUACUCUCUCUCUCUUGAUCUCAAAUCAGGCAAGGCUACCCGCUGAACUUAAGCAUAUCAGUAAGCGGAGGAAAAGAAACUAACAAGGAUUCCCCUAGUAACGGCGAGUGAAGCGGGAACAGCUCAAAUUUAGAAUCUGGCGCAAGCCGAGUUGUAAUUUAAAGAGGCGUGAUCCGAGCAGCGCGGCUGUCCAAGUCCCUUGGAAUAGGGCAUCACAGAGGGUGAGAAUCCCGUCUGGGCGGCUGCGUGCGCUCUCCACGACGCGCUUUCUACGAGUCGAGUUGUUUGGGAAUGCAGCUCUAAAUGGGUGGUAAAUUUCAUCUAAGGCUAAAUAAUGGCAAGAGACCGAUAGCGAACAAGUACCGUGAGGGAAAGAUGAAAAGCACCUUGAAAAGGGAGUUAAACAGUGCGUGAAAUUGUUAAAAGGGAAACGAAUGAGAUCAGUGUUGCCGUGCCGGUCGGCUGCGCAUGCGGGUGAACAGGAGCUCACGCCCUCUAGCCUUGUGUUGUGCAGCCUAGGCGCGGCGAGUCGGCGUCGGUUCUGCGGCAGAGACCUACGCUCGGGAAGGUGACGGACUUGUCCGUUUUAUAGACCCGGGCCAAACCUGCUGCGGGACCGAGGCGAGCAGCUGCGUUUCCCGGCCCUUUGAUCCGCGCCCCAUCACUGCAGGCAGCACGCUGGCUGCGGUGGCAAGGCGUGGGGGCGAGGGCCGCGCGUGGCCUGUGGAUGCCGACGAAAUGGUCUUAUACGACCCGUCUUGAAACACGGACCAAGGAGUCCAACAUGUAUGCGAGUAUUUGGGUGGCAAACCCGAGUGCGCAAUGAAAGUGAACUGGAUGGGAGCCGCGCCAGCGGCGCACCAUCGACCGGCCCUGAUAUCUCUUGAAGGGACCGCGUACGAGCAUACCUGUUGGGACCCGAAAGGUGGUGAACUAUGCCCGGAUAGGAUGAAGCCAGAGGAAACUCUGGUGGAGGUCCGUAGCCGUUCUGACGUGGCAAAUCGAUGGUCAAAUCUGGGUAUAGGGGCGAAAGACUAAUCGAACCACCUAGUAGCUGGUUCCCUC